ensembl:lncRNA
GGGCAACAUGUUCUAAUCAGGACGGACAACACCACGGUGGUGGCGUAUAUAAACCGUCAGGGGGGGCUGCGCUCCCCUCAAAUGCACACGUUGGCACACAGACUGACCAUUUGGGGCAACGCCCACCUAUUGUCGCUGAGAGCAACACACGUGCCGGGCGCGCGGAACUGGGGAGCAGAUUUAAUGUCCAGGGGCGACCCUUGCUACAAGGACUGGAAACUCCAUGUCGUGGUCGUGAACCAGAUAUGGGAGAAAUACGGUCGAGCAGAGGUCGAUCUCUUUGCAUCAGAGGAGAACACUCAGUGCCCUCUGUUCUAUUCCCUAACCGGUCGGAGCGCCCCAAUGGGGCUGGAUGCUUUGGCAUACGAGUGGCCGCGCGUCCUCCUGUACGCUUUCCCCCCAUUAGAACUGAUCAUUCCUACUCUCGCCAGGGUGCGAGAGAAGGGUCAUGCGCUGAUCCUUAUAGCCCCCCGUUGGCCGGGGAAAUAUUGGUUGGCGGAAAUAGUCCAGUUGCUGUGCGGCCAGCCUUGGCCUCUGCCUUUACGAAGGGACCUCCUGACGCAAGCGCAUGGGGAAAUCUUCCAUCCUCAUCCGGAGCGCAUGGCUCUAUAGGCCUGGCCCGUGAAAGGAUGAACCUAACGACGGCUGGACUCCCAUUGAAUGUCAUUACGACUAUCCAGGGCGCCAGGGCUUCCUCCACGCGUAGCGCAUAUGAAGGGAAAUGGCGUGCGUUCGAGGAUUGGUGCGCGAAAGCUGGGGAAAUAGCUUUCCAGAGUCCCGUGCCUGUUAUUCUGACAUUUCUACAGGAUUUGCUGGAUAAAGGCCGGGCUUUCUCCACUGUCAAAGUGUACUUGGCCGCUAUAUCGGCUUGUCACAUAGGUUUUGGGGACAAAUCGGCAGGUCAGCACCCUAUCGUUUGCCAGUUUAUGAAAGGUGCACGCCGUCUUUGGCCGGUGUUGCGGAGCUUGGCUGCUCCUUGGGAUUUAUCUACGGUGCUUGAUGCACUGUCACGCCCACCGUUUGAGCCCUUACAACAGGUAGAGCUUAAGACGCUCUCGUUUAAGACGGCUUUGUUGCUCGCGUUGGCCUCGGCUAAACGCACUAGUGACAUCCAUGCGCUGUCGGUUAGCCCGACGUGUAUGCAGUUUUUGCGGUGGAACUCAAAGGUUCUAUUAAAGCUGAACCCUGCGUUUGUUCCCAAGGUAUUCGACUCUGCGUUGUCAUACCGCCCUAUUGAGCUGUUGGCUUUCCAUUCUCCCCCUUUCUCCUCCAAGGAGCAGGAGCGGCUGAAUGCGCUCUGCCCGGUGCGGGCUUUACGCGUCUAUGUUGAUAGGACGGCUGGAUUCAGGAAAUCGGAGCAGCUGUUUGUAUCAUGUGCUACGUCACAUCUGGGGAAGCCUCUCUCGAAGCAGCGUUUAUCACACUGGAUCGUGGGGGCUAUAGCCAUGGCUUAUAGUAGCGUGGGUUUGGAACCCCCUAUCGGCCUGCGCGCACAUUCGACUCGCGGCAUGUCCGCAUCCUGGGCACUGUUUCAGGGGGUCUCAGUGGAAGAGAUAUGUGCGGCUGCCAGCUGGGCGACGCCUCACACUUUCGCUAGAUUCUACAGGUUGGAUGUUACUGCGCCUAAUCUGUCUCACACAGUCUUGAGCGUUGGAUCGGUGAACAUGCCUGUUUGAUGGGUUUGCACUGGUACUUCUUUGGCAAUACGGGAGUUACUAGAUCCCAUAGUGAG